CAAAAAAUGUCAUAGUAUAGUAAGACCUCAAAAAAUGUGAAAAAAUGUCAUAGUAUAGUAAGGUGUCAAAAAAUGUGAAAAAAUGUCAUAGUAUAGUAAGACCUCAAAAAAUGUGAAAAAAUGUCAUAGUAUAGUAAGGUGUCAAAAAUGGUCAAAAAAUGUCAUAGUAUAGUAAGACCUCAAAAAAUGUGAAAAAAUGUCAUAGUAUAGUAAGGUGUCAAAAAUGGUCAAAAAAUGUCAUAGUAUAGUAAGACCUCAAAAAAUGUGAAAAAAUGUCAUAGUAUAGUAAGGUGUCAAAAACCACCAAAAAAUGUCAUAGUAUAGUAAGGUGUCAAAAAAUGUGAAAAAAUGUCAUAGUAU